GUGGUGUAAAGGAUGUUCCGCCUAUUAAUUUACUUUAUUUAUGUUGGUGUAUAUCUGGUUUAAUAUUAUUGUUUAAUAAUUUAAUUUGUGUAUUGUUAAAUUAAGCCAAGUCUAUGUGCUGCUUAUUAAAGUAUUCAUGCGUUACAUUUAUAAGGUUACAUUUGUAAAAAUGUAAUAUUCAGGACUUAAAAGUAAUAUUAAAUUAAUUUGUUAGUGUGAAAAAAGUUUAGCUCAUGUACACA
rnacentral:rRNA from 2 species